rnacentral:tRNA from 1 species
AGAGAAUUGGCCGAGUGGUCUAUGGCGGUAAACUUGAAAUUUAUUUGGUUUUUAUAAAAUCACAUCCGUUCAAAUCGGAUAUUCUCUG